GUGACAGGGCGGGCUAUGGACAGUCUUAUAGUGCCAGGCAGGGGGAAGGGCAGCAGCAGGGAAGAGACCAAAGUUCGGGAGUUGGACUGGAGUAGGGGACAAUUCGUCCCCCCAACACACAGACACACACUCACUUUCAUUCCCUGCCCCCUCUCUCCUUCCGGCAAGCCAAGUGACACAGUCCUUCCCCAUUUUCCAAGGACUGCAGGCCUGCCUCAGGGAAGGAUAUGGGUAACUGAACUUCUGAGUCCUCCCUGGUCUGUCCUCCCUGGACCUGUGGACAUGUCUGGUACACUCAGGGCCAUCUACAGAGAUCUGCAAUGUGGACACAGCACAUGCCUAUGCAUGUCGCAGAGAUCAUAUGAAUCCAAGACACGGCUCCCCGACUCCAUAACAGGGUCAGGCUUAGACAUGCACCACUUGGCAGAGCCUAAGGGGGACCCAGGUGCUCAGCAAGGAUGUUCAGAGGAAGUGGGACCAGCCUGUCCCAAUAGUCCCGGAUUGCAUUUUAGAGACCUGCUAGGAGCACUUUUGGAAACUGAACUGUGUGUGAAACCGAAGAGCCGAGAACCACUGCUCUGAGGAAAGAGGGAUCAGCAGGCAUAACACCAAGCCACAGGAGUCGUGGAUGUGUCUGAUGGAAAAUGCGUGUCACUUCCAUGAGGUCUGCCCAUACCAUCCCUGCCAGGGCCAAAGAGAACCCCCAAGAGACCACGUGACGCCAGGACCGAGGGAUUCCCGGAUGGAAAACAGCUGGGAUCAUUCUCAAGGCCCCCCUCAUAAAUAUGCAAACACAGA